AGCCUGAUUGAUUUAUUUGCUUUCUAUAUGUGCAUAUGCAGUGUUAAAUAUUAAGUUAAAAUUUAUUAAGUCAGAAAUUUUUGUUGA
rnacentral:misc_RNA from 1 species